rnacentral:rRNA from 1 species
UGGGGAAUUUUGGACAAUGGGCGCAAGCCUGAUCCAGCCAUGCCGCGUGCAGGAUGAAGGCCUUCGGGUUGUAAACUGCUUUUGUACGGAACGAAAAGACUCUGGUUAAUACCUGGGGUCCAUGACGGUACCGUAAGAAUAAGCACCGGCUAACUACGUGCCAGCAGCCGCGGUAAGACAGAGGAUGCAAGCGUUAUCCGGAAUGAUUGGGCGUAAAGCGUCUGUAGGUGGCUUUUCAAGUCCGCCGUCAAAUCCCAGGGCUCAACCCUGGACAGGCGGUGGAAACUACCAAGCUGGAGUACGGUAGGGGCAGUGGAAUUCCUGGUGUAGUGGUGAAAUACGUAGAUAUCAGGAGGAACACCGGUGGCGAAGGCGGCUGCCUGGCCAAAUACUGACGCUGAGAUACGAAAGCGUGGGUAGCAAACAGGAUUAGAUACCCGUGUAGUCCCUGAGCGGGCUGGCAAGGCGCAU